rnacentral:rRNA from 1 species
UGGUGCGACCAUACCAGCGCUAACGCGCCGGAUCCCAUCAGAACUUCGGAUUUAAGCGUGCUCGGGGGAGGGUAGUCCUAGGAUGGUUGACCCCCUGGAAAGUCCUCGUGUUGCACUCC